UACGGAGGGUGCAAGCGUUAAUCGGAAUUACUGGGCGUAAAGCGCGCGUAGGCGGCUUGAUAAGCCGGUUGUGAAAGCCCCGGGCUCAACCUGGGAACGGCAUCCGGAACUGUUUGGCUAGGGUGCAGGAGAGGAAGGUAGAAUUCCCGGUGUAGCGGUGAAAUGCGUAGAGAUCGGGAGGAAUACCAGUGGCGAAAGCGGCCUUCUGGACUGACACUGACGCUGGGGUACGAAAGCAUGGGGAGCAAACAGG
rnacentral:misc_RNA from 1 species